CACAGCAAGGUCUGUAUCUAUGCUGUGGCACUAAAAGGAAUUUGUUCUAUCAUGAGGAGCCUGGCUCAUAGAUCCUGAAGAGGAUUAACUCCUUAAUCUGCAACUGAUUAUUUGGUGCCUCCGCAGAAAAGCAUUCGUACUCCUGUUAGCCAGUCUGUCCUCUUAAUGGAAAUAACAGCCACACAAACCCAGGCAGCUGUGGUUAUAUGGAGCUGUGUAUGUUGGAAUAGCAACAAGUAAUACUGGAUUCAACAUUACACUGCGAUAUCCUGCAUCUGACUGGCAAGUUCAUAACAAGGGUUCAAGCUGGGCUGAACGUGCUGAACUAAUUUGGAGAGGAAAGCCUGCGAGAUCAGAGCUUUGGCACCAGCGUCCGCCAAUGGCUCUCAGCCCAAAGACAGUGGCUCUGAGUGCUCAGGGGCAGUGAAGAGGCUUUGACUCCAUGCGGUGACCCCCUCGCUAAGUCUUUCUGUACAGUCACAUACAAAGGCUUGAAUACCCAUGGUCAAACUAUAAUCAAAUGUUUUGUGUACAUUCCCUAUUUAUUU